CUUCCAGAUCUCUCGAACUAGAUUAGUGUAACAGGGUUCAGUGUGGGCUUUAGUGGAGGUGCUCGACCUCCUGAGCUUGCGGAAGAUCCGAUGGCCAUGGUGGAUUGGGGAGGUUUGAUCAUACCGGCAGUCUUUAGAGUCGUUUCUCUGAACCUUAUCAACAGAUAAACGGGUUUUCCUUUCUCGACUCCAGACACUCGAGCUCCAUUGCCCGAAUCUGCAUUACCGAAUCCCAGUGAAACAAUCCCAGGAAACCCAGUAGAACAGCAACUCAACUCAAAGUGUCCUAACUCGACAUCCUCGAUCCGAAAUCCCACGCUCAUUCCAAAACUUCUUAAAAUCACGUAUUCAAAAACGAAGCACACGUCCACUUCCUAGCACAAAAUGCCAGCAGAUACCUAUAACCGCAGCCGACCCGGCGAACCCUGGCAAGCAAACAAGAGAUCCGCCGAAUCUGAUCCGGCACCAAAAUUCCAACUAAUCCAGUAAAAUACGGCGAAGGCAAACAUCAAACCUCAUCGCCCUCCAACUCGGCCUCGCCAUUCUCGUCAACGUGGGGGGCGUGUUAUUUAAUUUAAGUGGCGUCGUUCCAUAAACCGGGUUCGAACCAGCUAAUUGAACUAAGCUCGAGUCAAAAAGUGCUAACGUGGGGACACCAAAGGGAAGUCUCCAUAAAGAGAGAGAACUGAGAAGAUACAACCCCAAAAUUGAAUUUUCUUAGCUGAACUUCCUUCGGUGCCCUCACGCGAACGACGAAAUCACCGGAUGUGCCCUUCAACAGAAGAAGAUCCCGAGGGCAAAUCAGGAAAAAAGUCAGUAAAAUUCACCGUCCUCUCCUUCCUUUGCACCCAAGUCGCCGUGGCUUUCAAUCGCCAUAAGAAUCCACACGAACCUGCGAGACCGGAAUCGAGGUUCGAAUCCGAGCAAUGCGGACAAAGAUCGCGAUCGAUCACUCUCUAUCUCGCUGCGCGAUGGCGCCAUUUGAUCGCGUCUGCGCAUGCGAAACGUGCGGCGAUUGGAUUUUUCCCGUGGCGCGGUUUUCGGUUUUUUCUCGAUGACGCUGUUCGAUCCGAUUCUCUCGUAGAAUGUAGAGCGGAACGGGUCGUGGUUGGGAGUGAUGGUUGUUCUGACAACGCUUGAUUGCAGCGAGUGGAGUGGGGCGAGAGGUAAUUGCAAUUCGCGUUCAUGGCAUCAGUUACUGCUGCCCUGAUCCUCUGACUCAAUCCGGAUUUGGGAGUUUUGAUAGUGAGAAUUGACAGGCCCUGGUAUUGAGUGGGUUGGUUUUGAGCUUGGACAGUGAGAUUUGAAUUGUGAAUUUUGGCUGAUUAGGCAUUUCAGGGUUGGGGGGGAAUAGUUGACUGUGUUGUGGAGCUGUGGUGCCUGAUUGAAUGGGACAGACUAUAGCUGAGUGAUCCCUCAGGUGUACGAUUUGGAUGUUUUCAAAGCAUAGGACUGAUAGUGUUGUGUUGUAUUUGAACUUUGAGUGAGGUCCAAGGCUCAUAAAGCUGUUUACAAUCACGCUCUUGUGACGAUGGUCGUGGAGUAUGCAUCUGUAGUAAGUGUUCUUUAUAAAGAUUUUCCCGUUUACUUAGAGCUUCUUGUUAUUACCUUCAGAUUUCACCAAUUUCAAUACAAUAACAUCGUAACAAGAUGCAAAGCUUUUUAUUUUGCAAGUUUACAUGUCAGAUUUGACAGAACUUUUUAGUUGGACAUGUCCUGGUUGUGAUGGAAAGACCAAGGGGUUCUAAUUCAUUGAUCUGAUAGUUGACGUCCAGCACUGCUUAUAGGCAUCUAUUGGCGUGGCCAGGACCUUAAUGCUGCGGUUAUAGCUUUCGAAGGUACUCAAGAACAUAGGUUCAUCAUGGAUUUAUUAUGCUUGUCGCUAUACGACGGUGCAACCUGGUACUUUGGAUGCUGUUAGAAGAGCCAAGGAUUUGACAUCAACGUCAUGGUGACAGGGCAUUCUAUGGGAGGGCCUAUGGCAUACUUUUGC